GCCGGGAUAGCUCAGUUGGUAGAGCAGGGGAUUGAAAAUCCUCGUGUCACCAGU
rnacentral:tRNA from 1 species